rnacentral:rRNA from 1 species
UGGGGAAUAUUGGACAAUGGGCGCAAGCCUGAUCCAGCCAUGCCGCGUGAGUGAUGAAGGCCCUAGGGUUGUAAAGCUCUUUCACCGGUGAAGAUAAUUACGGUAACCGGAGAAGAAGCCCCGGCUAACUUCGUGCCAGCAGCCGCGGUAAUACGAAGGGGGCUAGCGUUGUUCGGAUUUACUGGGCGUAAAGCGCACGUAGGCGGACUUUUAAGUCAGGGGUGAAAUCCCGGGGCUCAACCCCGGAACUGCCUUUGAUACUGGAAGUCUUGAGUAUGGUAGGGGUGAGUGGAAUUCCGGGUGUAGAGGUUAAAGUCGUAGAUAUUCGGAGGAAAACCAGUGGCGAAGGCGGCUCACUGGACCAAUACUGAAGCUGAGGUGCGAAAGCGGGGGGAGCAAACAGG